rnacentral:lncRNA from 1 species
UAAGGAAUGAAGGAAACAUGACUACACAUGUCCAGUCACUCGUUCCACAUAGUAAGUUUUUUUUUAAACGUGGGCUCGAGAAGAGCCCGGCUUUGAAUUAACAAAGCCAUCACCCGACCAGGAAUUACAACCACAUACAAACCUCAUCGGCAUAACGAUACAUAGGAACUCUCUUGGAAGCUUACAACUCAACGGAGCGACCAAGCUCGGAAAAAUGUAGAAAAGAAAAGAUCAUUGUUUGCCCUAACCGAAGACUACAAGCAAACAAACAUCUAGGAAAGCAGCAAGCAUGAGAACGACAAGGUCCUGCGAAAACAGUGUAACUAUGAACCCGGCUAAACCCCAGGGUGAAGAACUCCAGGCAACCUCCUCUCUCGCCACAGAGGGACCCUUCCCUCUCGCCCUUGCAUCGCACGCCAGCCCGUCGAACCUGAGAGGCGCUCACCCUAGAGCAGGAGAGGUGCCAGCUUCAAAACCUGGAGUGGCCACAACACACAUCCAUCUUGAACAAUUGAGCACUUCGUGUCUGACGCACCGCCACUUCCUAGGACACCUGAAAGCUACAGGAAAGCCACCGGGCGCAGCUACCGAAGAAAUGGCAACAAGGACAUCAAGUAGAACCAGUAGGUCGCCGAGGAACAUUGCAGGCUGCCGUAGAAGAGGAGAACCAAGGUUUCGCAGCCUGAGGGUGUUGGUACUGCCGGAAGGGGAACCCUAUCCCCUACCAUUGGAUCGAGGCGCCGCAUCGCGGGAAGUGGCCAAACAUGUCGCCGCCAGAGAACACCACUCAUGAGGGAUACGGCGACGCCUUCAGCCAUGCGAAAACCCACCGACACCGCCGUCACCGAACUACCUGAGCCACCCAAAGCUCCAACCUUUGCCGCCCUCACCUGAGCGCAGCCCUCCCCGGGAGGCGCCUCCAAGGUGGAUACGACGCGCAGUGCGCUGUCGCUGCCCAAUCCGAACCAGAUUUGGGGCUUUCACCAAGGAGGAGGAACAGGGGUGGAGAGGGCAAGAGUCUCGGCUACACCUCCAAGGAUGAAGCACGACGUCAUGGAUGUCGCUGCCGCCGGGCCGAACGGGCCGACCAACUGUUUCCCGUGGCCCCAAACCACACCACCGGCCGCCCACCAGCACAAGAUCUAGGACCCGAAGGGCUCGGUCAGGUGGACGCGCGCGCGGGGGGUGGGGAGAUAGGGGCGAAGGGAAGCGGGCCAAACCUCAGAUCUGAUGAGAAGGAACAACUCCGCACCGCCGCCACCACCCGCAUGGUCGAGCCCGUCAACCAGAGACACCUGCGGACGCCAGCCGAGAUGGUGCCGCCGCCUCGUCGG